CCCUUAGAUGUCCGGGGCUGCACGCGCGCUACACUGAAUGAAUCAGCGUGCUAGAAAACCUUGUUUGACAUGGCUAGGUAACCCAUUGAAAAUCAUUCGUGAUUGGGAUCGGGACUUGCAAAUGUGUCCCUUGAACGAGGAAUUCCCAGUAAGUGCGGGUCAUCAGCUCGCGUUGAUUACGUCCCUGCCCUUUGUACACACCGCCCGUCGCUGCCCGGAACUGAGCCGUUUCGAGGAGACUGAGGAUUGCUGACUUGAGGCCUUCACGGGCUUCUAGUCGGUGAAAAUCAAUUUAAUCGCAGCGGCUUGAACCGGGCAAAAGUCGUAACA
rnacentral:rRNA from 1 species